rnacentral:rRNA from 1 species
UACGGGGGGGAGCAAGCGUUUGUUCGGAUUUACUGGGCGUAAAGGGCGCGUAGGCGGCGUGACAAGUCACUUGUGAAAUCUCCGGGCUUAACUCGGAACGGUCAAGUGAUACUGUUGUGCUAGAGUGCGGAAGGGGCUACUGGAAUUCUCGGUGUAGCGGUGAAAUGCGUAGAUAUCGAGAGGAACACCUGCGGCGAAGGCGGGUACUGGGCCGACACUGACGCUGAGGCGCGAAAGCCAGGGGAGCGAACGGG